GGGGGGGGGGGGCAAGCGUUGUUCGGAAUUACUGGGCGUAAAGGGGCGUGUAGGCGGUCCUGCAAGUCUUUCGUGAAAUCCCACAGCUCAACUGUGGAACUGCGAGGGGAAACUGCAGGACUUGAGUCCGGGAGAGGAGAGUGGAAUUCCCAGUGUAGCGGUGAAAUGCGUAGAUAUUGGGAGGAACACCGGUGGCGAAGGCGGCUCUCUGGACCGGUACUGACGCUGAGGCGCGAAAGCUAGGGGAGCAAACGGGAUUAGAUACCCCGGUAGUCCUAGCCUUAAACGAUGAGCACUUGGUGUGGCGGGUAUCGACCCCUGCCGUGCCGAAGCUAACGCAUUAAGUGCUCCGCCUGGGGAGUACGGUCGCAAGGCUG
rnacentral:rRNA from 1 species